UACAGAGGGGGCAAGCGUUAUUCGGAAUUAUUGGGCGUAAAGGGCGCGUAGGCGGCUUGGCAAGUGGAAGGUGAAUCCCGUCGGCUUAACCGAGGAACUGCCCUCCAAACUGCUUUGCUUGAGGCCGGGAGAGGCGAGUGGAAUUCCCAGUGUAGCGGUGAAAUGCGUAGAUAUUGGGAGGAACACCAGUGGCGAAGGCGGCUCGCUGGACCGGUUCUGACGCUGAGGCGCGAAAGCGUGGGGAGCAAACGGGG
rnacentral:rRNA from 1 species